rnacentral:rRNA from 1 species
CCUACGGGAGGCAGCAGUGAGGAAUAUUGGUCAAUGGACGGAAGGCUGAACCAGCCAAGCCGCGUGAAGGACGAAGGUGCCAAGCAUUGUAAACUUCUUUUGUCCAGGGACAAAAUCAGGCUCGAGAGCCUGACCGAGGGUACUUUAAGAAAAAGCAUCGGCUAACUCCGUGCCGGCAGCCGCGGUAAUACGGAGGAUGCGAGCGUUAUCCGGAUUUAUUGGGUUUAAGGGGUGCGUAGGCGGACUGUUAAGUCAGCGGUAAAAGCCCGGGGCUCAACCCCGGCGAGCCGUUGAAACUGGCUGUCUUGAGAGGUGGAGAGGUAGGCGGAAUG